UACGAAGGGGGCUAGCGUUGCUCGGAAUCACUGGGCGUAAAGCGCACGUAGGCGGACUCUUAAGUCAGGGGUGAAAUCCUGGAGCUCAACUCCAGAACUGCCUUUGAUACUGGGAGUCUCGAGUUCGGGAGAGGUGAGUGGAACUGCGAGUGUAGAGGUGAAAUUCGUAGAUAUUCGCAAGAACACCAGUGGCGAAGGCGGCUAUCUGGACCGACAUUGACGCUGAUGCGCGAAAGCGUGGGGAGCAAACAGG
rnacentral:rRNA from 1 species